ACGAACGCUGGCGGCGUGCUUAACACAUGCAAGUCGAACGGAAAGGCCCUGCUUUUGUGGGGUGCUCGCGUGGCGAACGGGUGAGUAACACGCGAGUAACCUGCCCUUGACUUUGGGAUAACUUCAGGAAACUGGGGCUAAUACCGGAUAGGAGCUCCUGCUGCAUGGUGGGGGUUGGAAAGUUUCGGCGGUUGGGGAUGGACUCGCGGCUUAUCAGCUUGUUGGUGGGGUAGUGGCUUACCAAGGCUUUGACGGGUAGCCGGCCUGAGAGGGUGACCGGCCACAUUGGGACUGAGAUACGGCCCAGACUCCUACGGGAGGCAGCAGUGGGAAAUAUUGCACAAUGGGCGGAAGCCUGAUGCAGCAACGCCGCGUGCGGGAUGACGGCCUUCGGGUUGUAAACCGCUUUCGCCUGUGACGAAGCGUGAGUGACGGUAAUGGGUAAAGAAGCACCGGCUAACUACGUG
rnacentral:rRNA from 1 species